CUCGUAGCCCCGCCCACUCGCCUUCCGGCAGCGGGUUCCUCCCCGCCCCGCGCGCACGCCUGCGCCUCUUCCGGUCGCGCCGGCCAAUGGCAGAGCUCCCCUAUUACAUAAGCGCGGAGGGGCGGGGCCUGGCGGCGGGGGCCGGCCGAGCGGGACGGGAACUGCAGGGGACGUUGCCUUCAGCCCAGGCGUCCUCACCUUCCCUCCAGCCUUCUCAAUGCGGGCCCCUGCUGCGGGCCCUGGGAUCAGCGUGAUCUCGGUUCUGGCAGGCGACGGCCCACAGCGUGUUUCCUAAGCCGCUCGCUCACUUACUCGGGUGGCGGCCAGACCUCAGCCCCCGCGUCCCUUCUCUCGCGCCUCCGCGGCGGUGCCCUCACGUGCGCCAGGCGGGGGAGGGGCCGGAGCGGAGCGCCAGCGCCGGGCGACGUGGGUCAGCGGCUGGGGAGCCCGCCACCCGCGCACGCUGCCGCCCCCGCCCUCGGUGAGGCCGGCGGGCCGGGCGGCCUUUAACGGGGCCGCGCCGCGCCUUUGUUCUGUCAUCAGGCGCCCUGCACCUCAUCCUCAGGGGAACCCGGUUGCUUGAGCAGCCUGAGGUUUCAGGUGAGGUCAGGACACAGCCUGGCAGCCGCAGUGAAGCCCGCUGGCUCGGCCUUCCUGGCCGGUGUAGGUGACGACGAACAAUACACCGGCUUGCUAACAGCUGGGAGAAUGGUUACGUUUGUUUUUGUGUCUUGAUUUGCGGGCCGCUGCAUUUAACUUCCAAUAUCUACCAAGAGCGGUGGUGCUUGCAAAGGCGUCUGUCUGUAUGGCUUCACAGUGCUCAAUGCUUCAGAAAGAUGGAUGAAUGAGGCCAGGUAUUAUCAUAAGCCAGGUAUUCUUAGCACCCUUGGCAUCUCCCUGUAAUUAGAGUCUCUACGUUUCAUUCCAGGUAAAGAUUACAUUCAGUUUGGUGCACAAAUCUUCAGAGUACCACGGGAUGAGUUUUGGUCUCCUUUGAAUGCCUAUAAAAUACAGAACAUUGGCAUCACCCCAUUUUCCCUUCCCUGUCCCAGUUGAUCCCUACCCCACUCCAUCAGAGGUAACUGCUCUUCUGAUUUUAUCCCCAUAGAUGGAUGGAUAAAAUGUCUGUUUUAGAACUUCGCAUAAACGAAAUUGUACAAUGUGUACUUUUGGUGAGGCUUCUUUUAGCAACAAACAUAAUAAAUUUAUUACAUGAUGUUCUACUCAAGCUAUACAGUAUUUCUUUUUUCUUGCCUCUUAUCAGCCAGCAUCUUUUUUGUUUUGACUACUAAUAAUCUUAUAUUUGUUCCACACUGAUCUAAUUUACCAAGUACUUACAAAUCAAGGUUAAAUGAAAGGAAGCAAAUUACAGAAAGAUACAUACAGAUAAUUUAUAUGUAAAUUCUUAAAAUAUAAAAUAAAAUCACAUGCAUGCUUAUUUAAUUCUCUUAACCAGAGAUUAUUUAUCCCAUUUCCCCCAUGAUAAAAUUUAGGCUAUUUGUUCUGGGCCCUGGAACUAGAUUAGAAUCCUCAUCUUGACUCAGCACACUUAUAAGUGUUCAUGUUAUUUCCCUCUUCUACCAAAUUUUCAUCAACAUAAUGUUUUUGAAAUCCAUCCAUGUUGUUGCUUGUAUAAGUUGAUCUGUUCUCUUUAUUGCUGAAUAGAAUUGCAUUAUACAGGUCAACCACAGUUUGCUUAUCCAUUCUCCUACUGAUGGACACCCAGGCUUUUUCCAGUUUUUGAUUAUUCAUAAAAACUGGAAAAAUCCCGAGUGCUGCUAUGAACAUUCUUGUUCAAGUCCUUUUAUUAACAUAUGUUUUAAUUAUGUUGGGUGAAUACAUAAGAGUGAAAUUGCUAGGUCAUAUGAUAGGUGUAUAUUUAGUUUCUAAGAAACUGCCAGGUAUUUUUCCAAAGUGGUUGUACCAUUUUACCUUCCCAAUAACAAUGUUUAAGAAUUCUGGUUGCUCCACAUCUCCAUUAACCUUUGAUGUUCUCUAGGUCUUCUAAUUUUAAUAAGGGGAUGCCAAGCUUACAUUCUGGAUAGAAGAUUGCUCAUUAAUCAAUUUUCCCUUCAUCAGAAAUAUGGGUAAAAGGCUUUUAGGCUCCUUUUACAAAAUAUCACCUAAUAUUUUCUGUUACUUAACUCUUAUAACAAAUUUAGGUAUAAGGAAUCAUAAAUAAGAAAUCAUUUCUUGAGGACAUAUAAUCCAUUCAUUCCUGUUAAAAUCCAAAUUUCAUCCCUGGGGCAGAGAACUGAGUAUUUUGGACAGCUUUUGUCCAUUGCCUCCCCAUGUCAUUGUUUUUCUUGAGUUUCACUUUAUGUUAUACUUUUAGUUUCUUUGAAGUACUAUAAAGAACAGCCACAUGGAACUCAGUACAUAUUUACUAAGGAAGUCAGGGAGACAUAAUCUAUACCAAAUAGCUCUCCCCAAUUCUCCUGUAAUUUAACACUGGGAACAUCUAGGCUUCUUUUUCCUGAGCAGUAGAUAGUUUUUGUUUGGUUGCUUGCUUGCUUAUCUUAUACUCCCUAUGACUCUUAGGACUGAUCCUUCCUCUCUUUGUUUGGUAACUAGGAAGUUUAGAAAUUACCUACCUACGUUGCCAGAAUUUCUGGUAUAUUAUACAUUUUUUUGUAUGUAACUCCUAGCUUUAUUUUACAAUAUUUUGUUUUCCUCAUCUUCCUCUCUUUACCUAUUUCAAUCCUUUUUUAUUUUGUAAAAUUCCUCAAAUAAUUCCUAGAUUAAGGUUAAAAUUAAUUAGACUCGUUUGGUACACUGUUUAAAGCACUGAUUAUUAAGAGAUUCUCACUAGUGAUAUAUAUAUUUGAAAUAGAGGUGAAACACAAGAACAGGUUAAAUACCAUUCUUUUAUAAUUACGGUAAUUAGAAUUGCUAAUCAUUUAAUAAUAGCAUUAUUCACAAUAGCGACAGGGCAGAAACAACCUAAAUGUCCAUCAAAAGAUGAAUAGGUAAACAAACUGUGGUAUAUAUUCAUAUGAUAGAAUAUUAUUCAGCCAUAAAAAAUAAUGAAUUCUAAUCACACUACAACAUGGAUGAACCUAGAAAGCAUGUUAAUAAAUAAGCCAGAUACAAAAAAGACGAGUAUUAUAUGAUUCCACUAAAUGAGGUAUAUAGAACACACAAAUUUAUAAAGACAGAAGGUGGGAUAGAAGUUAACCAGGGCUGUGAGAGUAGAGAAUGGGAAGUUAUUGCUUAGUGGUUAUAGAGCAGCGGUUCUCAAACUGUGGGUUGCGACCCUUUUGGGGUCGAACGACCCUUUCACAGGGGUCGCCUAAGACCAUCGGAAAACACAUAUAUAAUUACAUAUUGUUAUUGUGAUUAAUCACUAUGCUUUAAUUAUGUUCAAUUUGUAACAAUGAAAUUGGGGGUCACCACAACAUGAGGAACUAUGUAUUAAAGGGUCGCGGCAUUAGGAAGGUUGAGAACCAGUGUUACAGAGUUUCUGUUUGGGGUGAUGAAAGAGUUUUGGAAAUUAUAGUGGUAACAGUUACACAACAUUGCAAAUGUACUUAAUACCACUGAACUGUACACUUAAAAAUGGUUAAAAUGGUAAACUUCAUGUUAUAUAAUUUUUACCACAAUAAAAAAAAUUAAAAACAGGUUAAAUAUCAUUCUUUUGUGUUUAGGGUAAAUAGAGCUGCUAGUCUCUUAAUGGGUUGUUAGAGGUUGCCAUCCAGUUUUUCCACAAGGCAUCCUAGAACCCAUGUGAGAUAGUUGAUCAUUGUAAAGAAGAUCAUGUUUUAGUAAAGGAACAAUGUUAUAAUUGAAAAUUACGUUUAAGGGUAUAGGACCAAGGAAACAGUAUUACGUGAAUUGCAGAGAUGACCAGAAAUAUAUUGUAAGAGCCAAGACACUGUAAUAGGACUUGAGACUAUUGUGUGUGUUCAUACAUAGAGAGAGAAGGAAGUUCAGAAAGACAGCACCUGGCUUUACUAAAGGCAGGGGUGACCCAGUGCAAGGGGUCCCGAAAUCUCUAAUAUGGUUCAGAAAAAUGGUCUGUCCUGGGAGUCAGAGCAGCGGGGCAGGGAGCCUGGGAAGGGAGACAGGACAGCAGUCAGGCAGACGGUCUCCCUGUGACAUACUUCUAACCAUGACAGGCAGAGGCAGACAGGAGGUAAAUACCUGGGAGGUGAGCAUAUGAGGGCACAAGUUCCCGCCCACUGGGAGAGGCACAGGGCAGCGCUCCAGCUUCAGGGUGGAGUGAAGAUCUACUCAGUUUCAUAGAUCAAAAACUCGGAAAUAGGGUGUCAGCAAAAGUUAGCAAAAGCCUUGAGAAUAUUUAUAUCCUUCCAUGAAGAAUUUUGUUUGUAAGAACGUUAUUUCACAGAAGUAAUUACUGAGUAAAAUGAUGUUAACUAUUAGUACAUUUUUAUAAUAACUGCUUACAAAUAAAAAAUUGUGAUUAACUUAAAUGUCUAACGAUAAGGAAAUCCCUACAGCAAAAGAACAUGUAGCCAUUAAAAUUGCUGGUGUGGCCCUGACCGGUUUGGCCCCGUGGAUAGAGCAUUGGCCUGCGGACUCAAGGGUCCCAGGUUCGAUUCCGGUCAAGGGCAUGUACCUUGGUUGCAGGCACAUCCCUAGUAGGGGGUGUGCAGGAGGCAGCUGAUCGAUGCUUCUCUCUCAUCGAUGUUUCUAACUCUCUAU